AGAACGAACGCUGGCGGCAGGCUUAACACAUGCAAGUCGCACGGGCAGGGGAAACCCUGUCAGUGGCGGACGGGUGAGUAACGCGUAGGUAUCUAUCCUUGGGUGGGGGAUAACGGUUGGAAACGACUGCUAAUACCGCAUGAUAACUGAGGUUUAAAGGCGCAAGUCGCCUGGGGAGGAGCCUGCGUACGAUUAGCUUGUUGGUGGGGUAAAGGCCUACCAAGGCGACGAUCGUUAGCUGGUCUGAGAGGAUGAUCAGCCACAUUGGGACUGAGACACGGCCCAAACUCCUACGGGAGGCAGCAGUGGGGAAUAUUGGACAAUGGGCGAAAGCCUGAUCCAGCAAUGCCGCGUGUGUGAAGAAGGUCUUCGGAUUGUAAAGCACUUUCGACAGGGACGAUGAUGACGGUACCUGUAGAAGAAGCCCGGCUAACUUCGCGCCAGCAGCCGC
rnacentral:rRNA from 1 species